rnacentral:lncRNA from 1 species
UGGAGUUCUUUACUGACAUGUCUCUCCCAGAUUUUCUUAUCUUUCUUCCACUAUUUCUUUUCUCACCCUAAUUGUCCCCAUCUCUUUUUUUUUCUAAUUCUUUGUUACCUCCAGUUUCAUUCCACUCCUUUAGAAACAGUAUUUUUCAGGUCAAAUGUUAUAGGUCACUGCUAAAAACUAGCCUGUGUUUAGUAAAGAUUACAAAGUUUACAAGUGGCUAAAUCAGGGAGCAUGAGAGUCUGCUAGGCAAAUGCAAAGGCCUGGGCUUUGUAUAGUCAAAGUAGGCCUUGAAUCCUUUCACCUCAUGCUGAAGAUUUUCGAGAUUGUUGACUAUUAUGUAACAGAUGGCCCAACAGACCUCCGACUCUUUUGCGGUGUUGGCCAGCUUGGCUCAGGAAAAUAGCAGCACUGGAUAAUGACUACUGCAGAAGCCGCACGGACUCAGCCCCUAAGCCCUCCAGUACCACCUAAUGCCAUCUUCAGCAUUCUCUGGACCUCAAAAGUCAGCUCCCUGGAGGAACGAACCUGGGACAGUGAGACUUGUCUUCAGUUUCAGCCUGAGAUUCUUCUUCCAAUUCAAAGGGCUAUUGUAAGGAUCAAAUGA